rnacentral:lncRNA from 13 species
UCAAGCAAGUCCACGGAUGUGUACAGUAUGUGCAUACAGUAGUACUUCGAGACGGAAAUUAAGAACGACAGUGAACGAACACAGAAAGAACAUCAAUAGGGAUGCAUCGGGAUACUCGACAAAAUCGAAAACAGUAACUUCCGAGAUACAUGACGAAUAAACGAUGUUAUGAUCAACACCGAUACGACCUUGUGAAAAAUCGUUAGCGGAGUCUCGAAGUUUAGUGGAUCACGAUCUGUCGACAAGCACGUCUGUAUCUUUCUUCUCGCCACGAAAAUGUACGUCAAUUUUGUCAAAAUCUCAACCAACAAAUUGUAUACCAAUGGAAAAUUUAAAUAAACAAAUUGCAACAAGAAAAAGAACUCUACUGUGACGGAUUUGUAGAAUAAUGAAACAUCUUUCGAUAUUGUAUUAGAUGCCAAUUUACCUAUUGGAGGUAUAGUCGGAGUUUCAAAUAAAGAACUAGAUACGCUAUCAACCAAAGUAGAGGGUCUUAUGCAAGAUAUAAAGUUUCUAUUAAAUAACAAAGAAGACUUUAACAACUUUAAUGAUCGUCUUAACAAUGAUACCCAAUUUUGAUCAAAUUUUCCUAUACAGCAAUAGAGAUCUGUAGAAUAUACUAAAAUUAUUGCGGAUAUACGAAAUAUAUCUCAAUUUUCUAAAGAUAUCAUCAGUAUUUUAUAAUAAGUAAAUUAUAAAUUCCCGUAUAAGAUAUUCAAGAGAUAUCUUAUUCUAAAAAAAAUAUCUUAUUUAUAUAGGACUUAUAAAAAAUAAUAAAAAUAAAUGUACGAGCAUUUUAUAUUAUAAGGAAAUAACAGUAUCGUGCACUGAAAGUACGUAACAUCUUCUCAUCUAUAUGUUCGGCAUUCGUGGACUGAAUUUCUAAAGCGGAUGUAUGCAUGUACAUAUAUGUAUGUGUGUACACACACCCACGGUCAUCGAUUCUGUCCUUCGGAAAAUUUUCCAAACUGAGAAGUCACUAUCUUUCUAUAUACUCGCAGUUCAUGAUUAACAUAACGUCAGAGCUUAAAGGUACAAUUUCAUGGUGUCUCUUGUCGCCGAGAUAAGUAGUCACGUGACCAAAUUAUGUCCAGUUCUUGUCGCUAGCGAUGCCGAAGAAAAGUAGGAUUGAAUCCAACUUCUAGCGACGUCGCUUCACGUGAUUAUCAAGUAAAUUUGAAUAUGGAUCUGCAAGAUAUAGCUGUUGUACAUACCUGCGGGAUAUGUGAAACAAUUAUUGAUCAAAACGACAUUCCGAUGCAUGAUUGUAUAAGAGCAUACAAAAAGUUCUUCGUGGAUAAUAAUUAUUAUUUUUAUCCAGUAACAGGUAUAAU